rnacentral:tRNA from 12 species
UGAAUAUGUCCUUAAGAGAAACAGAUUCGAGCGGAAUCUGGAGGUUGAAAAGCGGAUGCAAUUUCCGGCAUAUUCA